UCCCCCUUAGUUCAGUUGGUAGAACGCCGGACUGUUAAUCCGUAUGUCGCUGGUUCAAGUCCAGCAGGGGGAGCCA
rnacentral:tRNA from 2 species